AUAUAUACCUGGCAGGGGAGAUACCGUUAUCAAAAAGGCGUUUCACCCAGGGCAAGGCUCAGCCAUUACUGUGGGUAUGCUGACCUCUGCAAAUUCCCCAAACGAGGGACCCUUGCAUAUUUUCUGGUGUUGGGAAUGGGACUCGUA
ensembl:snRNA U1 U1 spliceosomal RNA